UACGAAGGGGGCUAGCGUUGUUCGGAAUUACUGGGCGUAAAGGGCUCGUAGGCGGCCAACUAAGUCGGACGUGAAAUCCCUCAGCUUAACUGGGGAACUGCGUCCGAUACUGGAUGGCUUGGAUUUGGGAGAGGGAUGCGGAAUUCCAGGUGUAGCGGUGAAAUGCGUAGAUAUCUGGAGGAACACCGGUGGCGAAGGCGGCAUCCUGGACCAAUAUUGACGCUGAGGAGCGAAAGCCAGGGAGCAAACGGG
rnacentral:rRNA from 1 species